rnacentral:rRNA from 1 species
UUAAUAGCGUAUUCGUUUGACGUUAGCGACAGAAGAAGCACCGGCUAACUCCGUGCCAGCAGCCGCGGUAAUACGGAGGGUGCGAGCGUUAAUCGGAAUUACUGGGCGUAAAGCGCAUGCAGGUGGUUUGUUAAGUCAGAUGUGAAAGACCCCGGGCGUCAACCUGGGAAUUGCAUUUGAAACUGGCAAACUAGAGUACUGUAGAGGGGGGUAGGAAUUUCAGGUGUAGCGGUGAAAUAGCGUAGAGAUCUGAAGGAAUACCGGUGGCGAAGGCGGCCCCCUCGGACAGAUACUGACACUCAGAUGCGAAAGCGUGGGGAGCAAACAGGAUUAGAUACCCUGGUAG